AUUGAACGCUGGUGGCAGGCCUAACACAUGCAAGUCGAGCGGAUGAGUGGAGCUUGCUCCAUGAUUCAGCGGCGGACGGGUGAGUAAUGCCUAGGAAUCUGCCUGGUAGUGGGGGACAACGUUUCGAAAGGAACGCUAAUACCGCAUACGUCCUACGGGAGAAAGCAGGGGACCUUCGGGCCUUGCGCUAUCAGAUGAGCCUAGGUCGGAUUAGCUAGUAGGUGAGGUAAUGGCUCACCUAGGCGACGAUCCGUAACUGGUCUGAGAGGAUGAUCAGUCACACUGGAACUGAGACACGGUCCAGACUCCUACGGGAGGCAGCAGUGGGGAAUAUUGGACAAUGGGCGAAAGCCUGAUCCAGCCAUGCCGCGUGUGUGAAGAAGGUCUUCGGAUUGUAAAGCACUUUAAGUUGGGAGGAAGGGCAGUAAGUUAAUACCUUGCUGUUUUGACGUUACCAACAGAAUAAGCACCGGCUAACUUCGUGCCAGCAGCCGCCGUAACAC
rnacentral:rRNA from 1 species